rnacentral:tRNA from 1 species
GCGAAAGUAGUUCAGUGGUAGAGCGUCAGUUUGUGGCACUGGUUGUCGCGGGUUCGAAUCCCGUCUUUCGCC